CUGCUGGAUCUCUGGCAGCCUCGCUUUCUCCCUGACGUUUCAGCAUCAUCCCCAGAGGAGCCACACUCUGACAGGUGAGUACAGGCCACCUCUUGAAGACAAAUGCCCACAUCCUGUCCUGCUUGCUGGUGCCAGUGUCACCAUGGAGCAGGGCAGUGCCCCAGCAUUGUGAAUGAACUGGUAACAAGCCAUGGGUUUUUCAUGGUCCUAGGCUCCUGUGUAGGUGUUUGCGUGCCUGCUCCUUUUGGGGCAGAGGGUUGGGUCCUCCUGGCUUUGCUUCUAAGACCAGGACAGCCUCCUUUUGAGAGGUGGGGUCAUUUGCUUUUUUAGGCUAAAGAUAUCUUUGGCAUUCUCAGAGGGAUUUAAGUGUCUAGGAAGCUGGUAUCUGAGGCCUCCAGGGGUCAUGUCAUGUCUCCCCAGUGAGGGUGCGGGGUCAGGCGCCCGGCCGCACCUGCUGAGUGUGCCUGAGUUGUGCAGAUACCUGGCUGAGAGCUGGCUCACCUUCCAGAUUCACCUGCAGGAGCUGCUGCAGUACAAGAGGCAGAAUCCA
rnacentral:sRNA from 1 species